UGGGGAAUAUUGCACAAUGGGCGCAAGCCUGAUGCAGCGACGCCGCGUGGGGGAUGACGGCCUUCGGGUUGUAAACUCCUUUCGCCAGGGACGAAGCGUUUUGUGACG
rnacentral:rRNA from 1 species